rnacentral:rRNA from 1 species
AUACGGAGGGUGCGAGCGUUAAUCGGAAUUACUGGGCGUAAAGCGCGCGUAGGCGGUUUUGUAAGUCGGAUGUGAAAGCCCCGGGCUUAACCUGGGAACUGCAUUCGAAACUGCAAGACUGGAGUAUGGGAGAGGGAAGUGGAAUUUCCGGUGUAGCGGUGAAAUGCGUAGAUAUCGGAAGGAACACCAGUGGCGAAGGCGACUUCCUGGCCCAAUACUGACGCUGAGGUGCGAAAGCGUGGGGAGCAAACAGGAUUAGAAACCCCGGUAGUCC